CCUACGGGAGGCAGCAGUGAGGAAUAUUGGUCAAUGGCCGGAAGGCUGAACCAGCCAAGCCGCGUGAAGGACGAAGGUGCCAAGAAUUGUAAACUUCUUUUGUCAAGGGACAAAAUCAGGCUCGAGAGCCUGACCGAGGGUACUUGAAGAAAAAGCAUCGGCUAACUCCGUGCCAGCAGCCGCGGGAAUAAGGAGGAUGCGAGCGUUAUCCGGUUUUAGUGGGUGUAAAGGGUGCGUAGGCGGGCUGUUCAGUCAGCGGUAAAAGCCCGGGGCUCAACCCCGGCUAGCCGUUGAAACUGGCUGUAUUGAGAUGUCGAGAGGUAUGCGGAAUGCGCAGUGUAGCGGUGAAAUGCUUAGAUAUUGCGCAGAACUCAGAUUGCGAAGGCAGCAUACCGGCGGCGAUCUGACGCUGAGGCACGAAAGCGUGGGUAUCGAACAGGAUUAGAUACCCCUGUAGUC
rnacentral:rRNA from 1 species